rnacentral:rRNA from 1 species
UGGGGAAUAUUGCACAAUGGGCGAAAGCCUGAUGCAGCAACGCCGCGUGAGUGAUGAAGGCCUUCGGGUUGUAAAGCUCUGUCUUUUGGGACGAUAAUGACGGUACCAAAGGAGGAAGCCACGGCUAACUACGUGCCAGCAGCCGCGGUAAUACGUAGGUGGCAAGCGUUGUCCGGAUUUACUGGGCGUAAAGGAUGCGUAGGCGGAUUUUUAAGUGAGAUGUGAAAACCCUAAGCUUAACUUGGGGACUGCAUUUCAUACUGGAAAUCUAGAGUGCGGGAGAGGAGAAUGGAAUUCCUAGUGUAGCGGUGAAAUGCGUAGAGAUUAGGAAGAACACCAGUGGCGAAGGCGAUUCUCUAGACCGUAACUGACGCUGAGGCAUGAAAAGCGUGGGUAGCAAACAGGAUUAGAUACCCUGGUAGUCCACGCCGUAAACGAUGAGUACUAGGUGUAGGAGGUAUCGACCCCUUCUGUGCCGCAGUUAAACACAAUAAGUACUCCGCCUGGGAAGUACGAUCGCAAGAUUAAAAACUCAAAAGG